AGAUGGAGCACGUUCUUUUGUUUCUCAGAGGACCAUGGCUGGAAGCAGAUAAGUCAGUGUAAAACAGCAGCACUGUCUGGAUCCAUGGGAUCAGGGUAAACACUGGAGAUUUAAGGAAUGAUGGGGCCCAAGAAAUCCAUGGCAAAGACAGAGCUAGAACACAGGGUGUCUGCCUCUGCUGCUCUGCUCUAUCUCUUCUUGAAGAGGGAACAGCAGAGGAAAUUUCAGCUGCCCUGCCCUGAAUCCACAGAACUGAGCCCAACAGCUGCUGAACCUGCAUCUUGGAAGAUCCCAGGGGCUGUGGGAUCUGCCUGGUGACCAAGUCUGGGAAGAUGACCUCAGGCAUGGCUAGAGGAAGCCUUUCACACCACACUAUGUCCUGCAUGCCCAGUCACUCCCAGCAUGGCAGGGCAACUCCAGGGCUGUCCAUGUUGUGGACAGGGGCUGGGAGGGAGGUGUGCAGGUGGAGCAGAGGGGCAGCAUGGAAUAUGUCAUACUUGUAGUUCUUCCACUGACAUUUCACCUUCCCUUUGUGUCCUGUGAUCUAAAAAGAUUUCAAAAUAAAUGUAGUUUUUCUUCAUA